rnacentral:rRNA from 1 species
AGCAGCCGCGGUAAUUCCAGCUCCAAUAGCGUAUAUUAAAGUUGUUGCAGUUAAAAAGCUCGUAGUUGAAUUUCGGGGUUAGUAGGUUGGUCAUGCCUCUGGUAUGUACUGGUCUCACUGAUUCCUCCUUCCUGAUGAACCUUAAUGCCAUUUAUUUGGUGUUUUGGGGAAUUUGGACUGUUACUUUGAAAAAUUAGAGUGUUUAAAGCAAGCUAACGCUUGAAUACAUUAGCAUGGAAUAAUGAAAUAGGACGCUCGAUCCCUAUUUUGUUGGUUUCUAGGAUUGACGUAAUGAUUAAUAGGGAUAGUUGGGGGCAUUAGUAUUCAAUUGUCAGAGGUGAAAUUCUUGGAUUUAUUGAAGACUAACUACUGCGAAAGCAUUUGCCAAGGAUGUUUCAUUAAUCAAGAACGAAAGUUAGGGGAUCGAAGACGAUCAGAUACCGUCGUAGUCCUAACCAUAAACUAUGCCGACUAGGGAUCGGAUGAUGUUUAAUUUUUAAUGUACUCA